rnacentral:rRNA from 1 species
GCCAGACUCCUACGGGAGGCAGCAGUGGGGAAUAUUGGGCAAUGGGCGCAAGCCUGACCCAGCAACGCCGCGUGAAGGAAGAAGGCUUUCGGGUUGUAAACGUCUUUUCUCAGGGACGAAGCAAGUGACGGUACCUGAGGAAUAAGCCACGGCUAACUACGUGCCAGCAGCCGCGGUAAUACGUAGGUGGCAAGCGUUAUCCGGAUUUACUGGGUGUAAAGGGCGUGUAGGCGGGGACGCAAGUCAGAUGUGAAAACCAUGGGCUCAACCUGCGGCCUGCAUUUGAAACUGUGUUUCUUGAGUACUGGAGAGGCAGACGGAAUUCCUAGUGUAGCGGUGAAAUGCGUAGAUAUUAGGCGGAACACCAGUGGCGAAGGCGGUCUGCUGGACAUCAACUGACGCUGAGGCGCGAAAGCUUGGGGAGCAAAC